GACGAACGCUGGCGGCGGGCUUAACACAUGCAAGUCGAACGGAAAGGCCCUGCAGUUGGGGGGUGCUCGGGUGGCGAACGGGUGAGUAACACGUGAGUAACCUGCCCUUGACUUUGGGGUAACUUCAGGAAACUGGGGCUAAUAACGGAUAGGAGCUCCUGCUGCAUGGUGGGGGGUGGAGAGUUUCGGCGGUUGGGGAUGGACUCGCGGCUGAUCAGCUUGUUGGUGGGGUAGGGGCUUACCAAGGCUGUGACGGGUAGCCGGCCUGAGAGGGUGACCGGCCACAUUGGGACUGAGCUACGGCCCAGACUCGUACGGGAGGCAGCAGUGGGGAAUCUUGCACGAUGGGCGGAAGCCUGAUGCAGCAACGCCGCGUGCGGGAUGACGGCCUUCGUGUUGUCAACCGCUUUAGCCUGUGCCGAAGCGUCAGUGACGGUAAUGUAUAAAGAAGCACCGGCUAACUACGUG
rnacentral:rRNA from 1 species